UCUCCUGGGAAACGGGUGGUAAUGCCGGAUGUUCCACAUGAUCGCAUGUGAUUGUGGGAAAGAUUCUAUCGGCGUGGGAUGGGGUCGCGUCCUAUCAGCUUGUUGGUGAGGUAACGGCUCACCAAGGCUUCGACGGGUAGCCGGCCUGAGAGGGCGACCGGCCACAUUGGGACUGAGAUACGGCCCAGACUCCUACGGGAGGCAGCAGUGGGGAAUAUUGCACAAUGGGCGCAAGCCUGAUGCAGCGACGCCGCGUGAGGGAUGGAGGCCUUCGGGUUGUAAACCUCUUUUGUUUGGGAGCAAGCCUUCGGGUGAGUGUACCUUUCGAAUAAGCGCCGGCUAACUACGUGCCAGCAGCCGCGGUAAUACGUAGGGCGCAAGCGUUAUCCGGAUUUAUUGGGCGUAAAGGGCUCGUAGGCGGCUCGUCGCGUCCGGUGUGAAAGUCCAUCGCUUAACGGUGGAUCUGCGCCGGGUACGGGCGGGCUGGAGUGCGGUAGGGGAGACUGGAAUUCCCGGUGUAACGGUGGAAUGUGUAGAUAUCG
rnacentral:rRNA from 1 species